CAAUAGCGUAUAUUUAAGUUGUUGCAGUUAAAAAGCUAGUAGUUGGAUUUCGGUUAAGAGCGACCGGUCCGCCGUUUGGUGUGCACUGGUUGGUUUUAACUUCCUGUAGAGGACGUGCUCUGGGUUUAACGACCUGGACUCGGAGUCUACGUGGUUACUUUGAAAAAAUUAGAGUGUUCAAAGCGGGCUUACGCUUGAAUAUUUCAGCAUGGAAUAACACUAUAGGACUCCUGUCCUAUUUCGUUGGUCUCGGGACGGGAGUAAUGAUUAAGAGGAACAGUUGGGGGCAUUCGUAUUUCAUUGUCAGAGGUGAAAUUCUUGGAUUUAUGAAAGACGAACUUCUGCGAAAGCAUUUGCCAAGGAUGUUUUCAUUAA
rnacentral:rRNA from 1 species